rnacentral:lncRNA from 1 species
AUCAAAUAACUUCUCUAUCUCUUUCGAAUUUCUUGCUAAUUAUUUAUGAUUUUCUUUCUUCAGGGUAGUGGCAAGCCUCCCUUGACACCCAAGAAAAGAAAAACUCCUCCUGUUACUAUCAUUCUUGUCGAAGAUGAUGAAGAGGAUACUCCUCCUACUCCACUCAAGAAGAAACAGAAGAAGAAUAAGGCCACAGUUUCCCCUUUCCAACCAAAUCAACAACAGGGUGUCGAAACCAACACUCUCCCUCCUCUUCCAAAGAAA